rnacentral:rRNA from 1 species
UGGGGAAUAUUGGACAAUGGGCGAAAGCCUGAUCCAGCCAUGCCGCGUGUGUGAAGAAGGUCUUCGGAUUGUAAAGCACUUUAAGUUGGGAGGAAGGGCAGUAAGCGAAUACCUUGCUGUUUUGACGUUACCGACAGAAUAAGCACCGGCUAACUCUGUGCCAGCAGCCGCGGUAAUACAGAGGGUGCAAGCGUUAAUCGGAAUUACUGGGCGUAAAGCGCGCGUAGGUGGUUCGUUAAGUUGAAUGUGAAAGCCCCGGGGUCAACCUGGGAACUGCAUCCAAAACUGGCGAGCUAGAGUAGGGCAGAGGGUGGUGGAAUUUCCUGUGUAGCGGUGAAAUGCGUAGAUAUAGGAAGGAACACCAGUGGCGAAGGCGACCACCUGUGCUCAUACUGACACUGAGGUGCGAAAGCGUGGGGAGCAAACAGG